CGAGGUCAGCGUAUUUUCGCAUUUAUUCACUGACGCAUUCUUUUUUUUAUUUUGAAUAUGUAAUCAAUACAAGGCUUUCCCAAUUGCUACCAAACAAAUUCCCCUCACAACACAAUACAUAAAAGAAAACUUGGGGAAGCAAACAGCAAAAAAACACACAAAAAAGAAAUGAAUGAAACAUUCAUGUUCUUUUAGAUGUGUGUAUAUAUAUAAAAUAUAAAUCAUCACCAGUAAUAAUUAACAAUCAUUAUUAUACCCGCUAAACCACAUAUUUUUGUACCUUUUCUAAAACUGGUUGAUAUUCGGACUUUGCUUGACUUCCUCACUGAGUUUGCUCAUUAGUUUGACACCAUUAAUGGAUAAGCAGAAACUUCCUAAAUAUUUUUCCGAUGUUUUCUGGUAGUGCCGUUUUUGUUUUUUUGCCUUAUACAUGAUGACUGCUUUUUGGAAAGAUACAAUGUCAGUUUUGAUUGUAUAAAAAGUGGAUUUAUAUUGUAUUUUUUCUGCAGAAUGGGAAGUGAUGGUAUGAAUGAUCCAGUAAUUGUUUCGCUUUGUAAAUGACUGCAAUGCUUCUUGAAACUUUGGACUGUACAUGUUUGAUGUGUGGUUUCAAACUUCAAACUGUCAUCUACUAUAACCUCCAGAAAUGAGUUUUUAUGCACCCUUUCGAUUUCAACCCCAUCGAUUUCUAUUCGCAUGAUUGUGUUUAUUGUGCCUUUGCCAAAUAACAUGAACUCAGUCUUACUUACAUUUAAUUCAAAUUUAUUCCAGUCAAACCAUAUAUAUUUUUUUUUUUUCAGUUCCACAUUUAUAACAAUUUCCACUUGUUUAAUGUUUCCUCCUGUACCAAAAGUAUUUGUGUCAUCUACGAAAUGCCACAAGCAACGUCCAAAUAUCCAGAGCAGUGAUUACCCAACUUUACAAACUGUUACCGUCCUUUCAAAUAUCUCUUUACCCAAUCUAAUUCCAGUCCCAUAACAUUAUGAUGGCUAACUGCAAGUUCUCUAAAAGUCAUCAUAAAUGUCUGAAUCCAGUGUCAUCGAGCAAUGUUUUGCUACACCUAAAAUCUUUCUGAAACUGGCUGCACUACUUACUCGGCAGGUCGCUAUUAUACAAGUGGUGAGGCUAGUGAGUGGAAGGAAAGCUGAGACCGGCUGUGAAGAAGUCAUUGCUGUUGCUGAUUUGCACGCUAGGUGCUGACCCAGAGACGACUGCCGCCAAACUCCGCCCGUUAACUAUUGGACAUCUCCCAUAGAGUUAUACUAAAACCGCGGUCUGGUAUGUUUCCCUGGCAUCCUCUCGACCUGAUGUGUUCGGAAAGAGACCACAGGGUAAGGCGCUCUCUAAAAUGUUUUCGGUCUGUGUUUAAAUAAUUAACACAAUUUCCUAGAUACUUCAUGCAUGUCAUUAAUAUGAAGUAUAAACAAUUAGGGGCCCAAUACUGACCCCUGGGGGACACCACAAGCAAUGUCCUAAUAUCCAGAGCAGUGAUUACCCAACUUUACAAACUGUUACCGUCCUUCCAAAUAACUCUUUACCCAGUCUAACGUCAGUCCCAUUAUCCCACAUGUUUCCAGUUUAUUGAACAGUAUGUUAUGGUUAAUUGUAUCAAAUGCGUUUUUGAGAUGGAUGGAUACUCAUAUUGCAUGUUUUCUGUUGUCUAAUUGCACCUAUGAUUUCCUCAAGUGAUUCCAUUAUUGCCUGUAAUGUUGAUCUGUUAUUCCUAUACCCAUACUGACUUUCAUAUUAUUAUUAUUAUUAUUGUUAUUAUUAGUAGUAGUAUUAGUAGUAUUAUUAUUGUUAUCAUUAUCAAAAUUGCAUCUAUUCUACUGUUAAAAAGAUUUUCCAAUAUUUUUGACAAUUGCGGUAGUAGUGAGGCAGGUCUAGUUAGUAAAGUUGUGUUUGCUUCCAGUUUUGUGCAGCGGAAUGACCUUUUUAAUUUUCAUAGCAUUUUCAUAGGAAAAUUCACAAAUGCACUUGGCGUGCAGUGGUUUUCUCUUAUUUAACUGAGUGAUUAUUUUGUAGGUACAUGUUUUGCAUUUGUAAAUGUUUUUAUUCUUUUGUCUCUUUGUCUUAUUUAAUUACAUUAUUGUGCCAAAUAGUAAGACAGUAGUUUUUCCCAGUAAAUGUUUAGCACAUUUAAUUUUUUUAAUUCAUUCUGUGCCGCGUGGCGUGAACUUAUAAACCCCACGAACAUAUGUACCACACGCACGGCCAACCCGCUACACUAAACAUGGCGGAAGUUCUCAAAGACUAAAUAAUCACAGUUACGUAUAACUACCGCCACACUUUUCGAAGCAAUGGUACUUUAAAAGUCCGUUUCAUAAACGCUUGUUUUGUUAGUCUGGCAUUGUGACGGCUAAGUGCAAGUGCUCUUAAAGUUAUCAUAAAUGACUAAAUCCAGUAUCAUCGAGCAAUGUUUUGCUACACCUAAAUGGGACUUUAAAAAUCUCUCUGAAACUGGCUGCACUACUUACUCAGCAGGUUGUUAUUAUACAAGUGGUGAGGCUAGUGAGUGGAAGGAAAGUUGAGACCGGCUGUGAAGAAGUCAUUGCUGUUGCUGACUUGCACGCUAGGUGCUGACCCAGAGACGAUCCGCCAAACUCCGCCCGUUAACUAUUGGACAUCUCCCACAGAGUUAUACUAAAACCGGGAUCUGGUAUAUUUCCCUGGCAUCCUCUCGACCUGAUGUGUUCGGAAGGAGACCACAGGGUUAUUAUUAUACAAGUGGUGAGGCUAGUGAGUGGAAGGAAAGCCGAGACCCGCUGUGAGGAAGUCACUGCUGUUGCUGACUUGCACGCUUGGUGCUGACCCAGAGACGACUGCAGCCAAACUCCGCCCGUUAACUAUUGGACAUCUCCCAUAGAGUUAUACUAAAACCAGGGGCUGGUAUGUUUCCCUGGCAUCCUCUCGACCUGAUGUGUUCGGAAAGAGACCACAGGGUUAUUAUUAUACAAGUGGUGAGGCUAGUGAGUGGAAGGCAAGCUGAGACCCGCUGUGAAGAAGUCAUUGCUGUUUGCUGAUUUGCACGCUGGGUGCUGACCCAGAGACGACUGCAGCCAAACUCCGCCCGUUAACGACAUUGGACAUCUCCCGGAGAGUUAUACUAAAACCAGGGGCUGGUAUGUUUCCCUGGCAUCCUCUCGACCUGAUGUGUUCGGAAGGAGACCGCAAGGUGUCAGCAUUGCCUGGACCCCACCAACCUGUACAGGGGCCUCAUUGGUCUGCUCUGGGGCCUCUAAACCUCGAGGGAUUAUCUGCUGGCUUUGUCCGUUUUCGCUGAUGUCCACCCCCAGCAUCCUAUUAUCCAUCUUCAAAGGCAAAUACGGACAUCAGCAGGCAUCAAGCCAGCAGCAGCUGAGUGUAGCUCUGCAGGGCCUUUUCAGAAGACUCGCGGCCGAAGCUGCUCCAGUUUCCCGUGAGCAGGUCGUCUCCUCUACAUGGUGGUGCUUCAGCAUUCGUGUCGUCAUUGAAGUCGAUGAGCGUAGGAGCGCCUGAGUCCCAGCUUCCGUCGGAAUGUGAGCCCUGCAUCAACAGCUCUGCGAUAUCUGAUCCAACUAUUUGCUGCCACAUUGGAAAUGUGAGAAUUAAGCUGGCUGACGUUCUCCUGCGCCGACAAGCCUGGAGUGACCCGUAUCAGCUGGCCCGCAGGCCCGAAGCUGACGACCGCAUGAGGGAUCGAAUACUUCAGAGGAGCCGACACCUGAGGCAGAGGUUCACAAUCUGAGGAGAUAUGAAGCAUAAGAAGAAGAGGUGGAUAAGCGCAGAGUGAAGUGGACAUGAAGGAAAGAUGCUUGAGCUGUUCACUCACCUCCAUCAGUGGCGUUAACAAAUUGAGGGACAGAGUCUGUGUGUUCGGCUCCAUUCAUGUACUGACUCAGCUCAUAGCUGCUGGAGGAUAGCCCUGAGUUUUUGGAACUUUCUAACGUCCCAAGGUAAUAAGAGGAAAUCUCUUCAUUGUCUCUGGAGGGAAUGUCCUCGUAGUCAUUGAAGUGAUGCUGGGAGGUGUCUCUCCCUUUGUCGUACCUGAAUGAAUGACAGUUUCAUGUAAAUGCAUGUCAGUUACGCUACUUUCUGUUGUCGCACACAGAAAGUCCUGGGCCUCUUUUCUGUUCUACUGAAACAUACGUUACCCAAGUAACACCAUCAGAGCUCCCUCCACCAUUGCUACUGUCUGCCUCAUGAUUUCUUACAUAUUACGUUAGCUUCCUGUUGUGUUUCUCUUUUCAUUUUGAAUUUGUGUAUUUAUAUUAAAUGCAGAUAAUCACUGUCACUCUUGGAGUCUAGCCACCCAACUAUUACCUUGCACGUCUUCUCAAUAAAUAUUCAUUAUUCACCCACUA